ensembl:lncRNA
GGGGGAUGUUUACCGCAGUGCCGUUAAAUACUUACAUCCUCACGUGUGCAUUUACGUUUAAAUAUUGACACCUUCGAGAAAACCUGGAAGGAUGAGUAAGUUUUGGAUAAAGAGGGGCACUAGGGAGAACCAAGGCGAGAGUACCAGACCAAGAUCCUCAGGACGUGAGAGAGGACCCCCCGGGGAUGGAGUCUUCCCCGGUGAUGCCGACGUGCGCCGUCUCAUUGAAUCUUCAUGAUGGCUUUGAAGGACAGACAUCAUCCCCCAUUUCAGUGAGGAGGAAACAGACUCAGCAACGUGCCCAGAGUUCAGCACCAGGAAUUAGCUGAGCAAAGGAAAGAGCUGACUGGAGUCGUAUCAGCUCGGACUAUCUAACAAGCCAUUCCCAAAGUUUCCUGGCUUAAAACGACAAACAUUUUUCGUUCCCCAUGUUUCUGUGGGUCGAGUGGACGAUUCUUCUGGUCAGGGCUGAGUGGUCUAGGAUGGCCACACUCUGGGGUUGGCUCAAUGUCUAGAUGGGGUGACAAGACGACUUGGCCAUGUGUCUCUCAUCACCCAGCAGGCUAGCCCGGGCUCGCUCCCACGCGGUCCCAUGGACUCAGGUGAGCGGGAAAGCAAGGCCCAGGGCAGAGCCCCUUUCAAGCCUCUGGAGCCUGUAUUUGAAAAGACCCCAUUGGCCAAAGCAAGUCACGUGGCCAAACCCAGAAUCCAAGGGUGAAGACGUAGACUCCGCCUCUCAGUGGGAGGAGCUGCAAAGUCCUAUUGCAAAGGAGCGUGGUUAGAGGAAGCGAGCAAUCUGUGGUCAGUUUUGCAAUCUGCCACGAAAACACAGCGCCGCGUGCAGCAACAGAGAAUCAGCUAAGAAAAUCUGGCAGGGCCAGGGGAGGCUUAUGCCAUCAUGAGACUGUGCUUAUAGAAGCAUCUCCUGCUGAGGAAAGUAGUUCAUAACAUAUUGUCGGGUAGGAAAAGCAGCUGUAAAAUACGUGUACCACUUCACAGCCAUCCAUCGCCAUAGUGUAAAGCCUGGCAAUACCGUGGGAUGACGGGAGUGGAGAGCAAUGACAGCUCUUCUCCCCUGCUGGUCGGAGGCGACUCAGUGCAGCCGCUGGAAGCACAGUUUGCAAUCUCCUCAAGCUGGCAAUACACAGACCCCAAAUCCCAGGAGGAGCAGUCUAGAGAAACCCUGGAUCGUGGGCACAAGGGCUCACAUAUGAAAUAGCCACAGAAGCCUCGUUAGGAAUAGCAGAAGGACUGAAUCAACCCAAAUGUCUAUCCUCCAGGGACUGGAUAAAUAAAGAGUGGUGUCAUUAUAUGAUGCAAUGCUGCACAGUGGUGAAAAGAGGAGGACCGGGUCACAAGAUCUAUAUGUGUCAUUUGGAUAGAUCUGGAAAACAUAGUGGAUCCAAAUACUCGAGGAGCCCCAAGUCAGCAAGCGGCUCUCCAGGAAUUGUCCCAUUUCCCUGCCUUUGUUCCCCGGCACAGGGAGAUCGCUUCUUCCGGAAAAAUAGAUUCCAGUGCGUGACUUUGUGCAAGUCGCCUCCCUCUCUGGCUGAGUUUCCUCAGUAGUUAAAUGCAAGGUAAGGAUCCAUGGCAUCGCCGGUUAUGCCAACGUGCCACUGGCUGGGGGAGGAAGCUGAUCCACACAGUGAGAGGCAAGGAUGGGGAAGCAGGUGGCAGGUGUUUCACACCCAUCGACAUCCCUCUCCCUUCUGGUCACUCUGCCCCUUGUUUCCUUGAGAACCAGCCCACCCUCCCUCAAUCCCUUCGGGUCUCAUGAGGUUGACCCUACUCCAGGGCUCCAGGUCUGUGCACACGUGGCCAAGACUGACCAACCAGAGCAUCC